UGUCGGCCCUCCACGAAAACGAAGUCCAUCAGACAGACGCGAACCGAGGAAAAUAUCACCAACUCUUUCUUCUCUGCUCGCGGCCGCGGCGACCGGAAGAAGACGGCGAUGGCGUGCCGCGCACUCGCGCUCCGCUCCCUGCUCCUCCCCGACCCCCUCCAUCUUCUCCCCUGCGCCGCCGCGGUUGCACCGGGGGCGAGGGCGCGCCCUGGCGGCCGCCGCCGCCCCCACUUCCGCUGCUGCUCCGGCGGGGACCCCGGGCAGCCGCCGCAGGAGGCCGUGCUCGAGGCCAUCUCCAAGGUAGCAAGGUCUAAAGGAAGAGUUGCGCUCACGACAAAUAUGGUCAUGGGUGGUACUGUGACGAAUGAUGCGAGCGAUGAAUGGCUUGUUCUCGAUCAGAAGGUAAAUUCAUACCCCACAGAUAGAGGAUUUACAGCAAUUGGUACUGGAGGUGAUGAUUUUGUCCAGUCAAUGGUAGUUGCUGUUGAAUCUGUUCUUCGAGAAUCCAUUCCCAAGGGCCGGGUAUCUCAGAAAUUGUCUUCCAGGGGAAAAUAUGUUUCUGUAAAGAUCGGGCCGAUUCGUGUGGUCUCGAGUGAGCAGGUUCAAGCCGUGUAUCGUGCCAUGAGAAGAGAUAACAGGAUGAAAUAUUUCUUAUGAACUACAAUUACACAUCCUGUAUGUUUCAUAGUUCCAUUCGUUUUGUAACAUAAGAGUCCUGUCACGCAUUCUGCCAAUCCUUGCUGGAGCUUCGGUAAAUUGACAAGAAAUGGGAAGAGGACGUUUCGUUCUAUUCAAGCACAAACAGAAGCUGCUCAAAUGAUCCGCUAAGAUAGAUGCAACUUAUUCGCUUCGGUUACGAUCUGUAGGGCAGUGGUCAUAUUAGCUAUUCGUAUGUUUAAAGAAUUAUCGUUUUAUAAUUUGUGGAUCCAUGUAAAAAAUCAGUGUGCAUAGCAGUUGAAGUGUUCCUAUAUUGUUGGUGGAUA